rnacentral:rRNA from 1 species
UACGUAGGCAGCAAGCGUUGUUCGGAAUUACUGGGCGUAAAGAGUGUGUAGGCGGUGCUCUAAGUUCGGUGUGAAAUCUCCCGGCUUAACUGGGAGGGUGCGCCGGAAACUGGAGUGCUCGAGCGUGGGAGAGGAAAGCGGAAUUCCUGGUGUAGCGGUGAAAUGCGUAGAUAUCAGGAGGAACACCUGCGGUGUAGACGGCUUUCUGGACCAUUGCUGACGCUGAGACACGAAAGCGUGGGUGGCAAACAGG